GGCUGAACUCCACCCUUCUGUACAAGCUGCAUCUGGUGUUCUCAUCAGCGGUGGGUGACCGGUGGGUUGUGUUCCCCUGGAAUGAAAAGAAGACAGCUUUUUGUGCAGAGAACUGGGAUCCACCAGCAUGGCAGUGUCCAAGCUCCCUGUCAGACACCUGGCUGCCCUCGCCCUGCCCUGCUCACCUCACCUGGUGCUGUUGCAGAGGGAGAACAAAACCUGGAAGCUGCUGCUUCAGCCCCGAGGAACCCGCGUCAGGUCCUGCUGCGAACGCACCACGGGCUCUGCGAGGACAGAAACAGACAGACGUGCCGAGAGCUGAGUCAAGGUUGGAGAUUCCCAUUGUACAUGUCCACCAAACUCACGUUGCACACAUCAAUAACCUGCACAAGGUUGUUGCAUAACUCUACUUAAACUAGUUGGAGUCUGAAGAGAGCAGGUAAAACGUGCCAAGUUUAUCUGGAGGAGGGUGAGGAUCCCGAGGCUGAGCCCGGGCUCUGCACCGUGUGCUGCUCGUGCUCAUAUUAAUG